rnacentral:rRNA from 1 species
AUUGAACGCUGGCGGCAGGCCUAACACAUGCAAGUCGAAUGGUAACAGGAAACAGCUUGCUGUUUCGCUGACGAGUGGCGGACGGGUGAGUAAUGUCUGUGAAACUGCCUGAUGGAGGGGGAUAACUACUGGAAACGGUAGCUAAUACCGCAUAACGUCGCAAGACCAAAGAGGGGGACCUUCGGGCCUCUUGCCAUCAGAUGUGCCCAGAUGGGAUUAGCUAGUAGGUGGGGUAACGGCUCACCUAGGCGACGAUCCCUAGCUGGUCUGAGAGGAUGACCAGCCACACUGGAACUGAGACACGGUCCAGACUCCUACGGGAGGCAGCAGUGGGGAAUAUUGCACAAUGGGCGCAAGCCUGAUGCAGCCAUGCCGCGUGUAUGAAGAAGGCCUUCGGGUUGUAAAGUACUUUCAGCGGGGAGGAAGGGAGUAAAGUUAAUACCUUUGCCCAUUGACGUUACCCGCAGAAGAAGCACCGGCUAACUCCGCG